rnacentral:rRNA from 1 species
ACCAGACUCCUACGGGAGGCAGCAGUGAGGGGUAUUGCACAAUGGGGGGAACCCUGAUGCAGCGACGCCGCGUGGGUGAAGAAGCGCCUCGGCGCGUAAAGCCCUGUCAGCAGGGAAGAAAAUGACGGUACCUGAAGAAGAAGCCCCGGCUAACUACGUGCCAGCAGCCGCGGUAAUACGUAGGGGGCAAGCGUUAUCCGGAUUUACUGGGUGUAAAGGGGGCGCAGACGGCGAUGCAAGCCAGGAGUGAAAGCCCGGGGCCCAACCCCGGGACUGCUCUUGGAACUGCGUGGCUGGAGUGCAGGAGGGGCAGGCGGAAUUCCUGGUGUAGCGGUGAAAUGCGUAGAUAUCAGGAGGAACACCGGUGGCGAAGGCGGCCUGCUGGACUGCAACUGACGUUGAGGCCCGAAAGCGUGGGGAGCAAACAGGAUUAGAUACCCGAGUA